rnacentral:lncRNA from 1 species
GGGCCGCAGGGGAGGAUGGCGUUAGGCUAGGGGGCCGCAGGGGAGGACGGCGUUCGGCUGGGGGGCCGCAGGGGAGGGCGGCGUUAGGCUAGGGGGCCGCAGGGGAGGACAGCAUUAGGCUAGGGGGCCGCAGGGGAGGGCGGCGUUAGACUAGGGGGCCGCAGGGGAGGACGGCGUUAGGCUAGGGGGGCCGCAGGGGAGGACGGCGUUGGGCUAGGGGGCCGCAGGGGAGGACGGCGUUAGGCUAGGGGGCCGCAGGGGAGGACGGCAUUGGGCUAGGGGGGCCGUAAGGGAGGACGGUGUUGGGCUGGGGGGCCGCAGGGGAGGACAGCGUUGGGCUAGGCGGGGCCGCAGGGGAAGGUGGCAUUGGGCUAGGGGGGCCGCAGGGGAGGACGGCGUUGGGCUAGGGGGGCCGCAGGGGAGGACGGCGUUAGGCUAGGGGGCCGCAGGGGAGGACGGCGUUAGGCUAGGCGGCCGCAGGGGAGGACAGCGUUGGGCUGGGGGGCCGCAGGGGAGGACGGUGUUGGGCUGGGGGGCCGCAGGGGAGUACGGCGUUGGGCUGGGGGGCCGCAGGGGAGGAUGGCGUUAGGCUAGGGGGCCGCAGGGGGAGGACGGUGUUAGGCUAGGGGGGGCCGCAGGGGAGGACGGCGUUAGGCUAGGCGGGGCCGCAGGGGAGGACGGCGUUAGGCUAGGCGGGGCCGCAGGGGAGGACGGUGUUGGGCUGGGGGGCCGCAGGGGAGGACGGCGUUAGGCUAGGGGGCGGCAGGGGAGGACGGCGUUGGGCUAGGGGGGCCGCAGGGGAGGACGGCGUUAGACUAGGGGGCCGCAGGGGAGGACGGCGUUAGGCUAGGGGGCCGCAGGGGAGGACGGCGUUCGGCUGGGGGGCCGCAGGGGAGGACGGCGUUAGGCUAGGCGGGGCCGCAGGGGAGGACGGCGUUAGGCUAGGCGGGGCCACAGGGGAGGACGGCGUUAGGCUAGGCGGGGCCGCAGGGGAGGACGGCGUUAGGCUAGGCGGGGCCGCAGGGGAGGACGGCGUUAGGC